AUUGAACGCUGGCGGCAAGCCUAACACAUGCACGUCGAGCGGAGCGGCGGAAGGGUGAGUAAUGCCUAGAGGUCUGCCUGGGCGUGGGGGAGAACGUCGGGAAAUGGGCGCUGAUCGCGCAUAGUAUCAGCUUAGCCUCGGGCGGAUUAGCUAGGUGGUGGGGUAAAGGCCUACCAAGGCGACGAUCCGUAACUGGUCUGAGAGGAGGAUCAGUCCCACUGGAACUGAGACACGGUCCAGACUCCUACGGUAGGCAGCAGUGGGGAACAUUGGACAAUGGGAGAAAGCCUGAGUCAGCCAUGCCGCGGGUGUGAAGAAGGGCAUCGGAUUGUAAAGCACUUUAAGUUGGGAGGCGUGUCAAACAGAAUAAGCACCGGCUAACUUCGUGCCAGCAGCCGCGGUAAUAC
rnacentral:rRNA from 1 species